rnacentral:rRNA from 1 species
UACGUAGGGUGCAAGCGUUGUCCGGAAUCAUUGGGCGUAAAGAGCGUGUAGGUGGCUCGGUAAGUCCGCUGUGAAAGUCCAGGGCUCAACCCUGGAAAGCCGGUGGAAACUGUCGAGCUCGAGUCCGGAAGAGGCGAGUGGAAUUCCUGGUGUAGCGGUGAAAUGCGCAGAUAUCAGGAGGAACACCAAUGGCGAAGGCAGCUCGCUGGGACGGUACUGACACUGAGACGCGAAAGCGUGGGGAGCAAACAGG